rnacentral:tRNA from 1 species
AAGACACUAGUAAAAUAUUACACUGCCUUGUCAAGGCAGAGUUGUAGGUUAGACUCCUGCGUGCCUUA